AUUGAACGCUGGCGGCAGGACUAACAAAUGCAAGUCGAACGAGUGGCGGACGGGUGAGUAAUGUAUGGGAAAAUGCCUGAUGGAGGGAGAUAACUACUGGAAAAGGUAGCUAAUAACGCAUAACAUCAGAUGGGCACAGAUGGGAUUAGCUAGGUGGUGGGGUAACGGCUCACAAAGGCGACGAACCCUAGCUGGUCUGAGAGGAGUACAAGCCACACUAGAACUGAGACACGGUCCAGACUCCUACGGGAGGCAGCAGUGGGGAAUCUUGCACAAUGGGCGCAAGCCUGAUGCAGCCAUUCCGCGUGUAUGAAGAAGGCCUUCGGGUUGUAAAGUACUUUCAGCGGGGAGGCGUUACCCGCAGAAGAAGCACCGGCUAACUCCGUGCCAGCAGCCGCGGUAAUUC
rnacentral:rRNA from 1 species